rnacentral:tRNA from 1 species
GUGGUCAUGGUGUAACAGCAGCACUGCGCCCUGUGACGGCGCCGGUAUCGGUGCAAAUCCGUUUGGCCACCCCA